rnacentral:rRNA from 1 species
AACUACACAUAAGAGGUCCUGCCUGCCCUGUGACCCCUGGUUCAACGGCCGCGGUAUUUUGACCGUGCAAAGGUAGCGCAAUCACUUGUCUCUUAAAUGAGGACCUGUAUGAAUGGCACAACGAGGGCUUAACUGUCUCCUUUCCCCGGUCAGUGAAAUUGAUCUUCCCGUGCAGAAGCGGGAAUCCUAACAUAAGACGAGAAGACCCUAUGGAGCUUUAGACUCCAGAACAGAUCAUGUAAGCUACCCCCAUAAAACAGGUAAUAACUAUUGAAUUUCUGUUCCCCUGUCUUUGGUUGGGGCGACCACGGGGAAGAAAAAAACCCCCAUGUGGACCAGGAGCACAUUACUCCUACAACCAUGAGCCACAGCUCUAAUGCACAAAACCUUUGACCAUUAGAUCCGGCAAAGCCGAUCAACGGACCAAGUUACCCUAGGGAUAACAGCGCAAUCCCCUUUAAGAGUCCAUAUCGACAAGGGGGUUUACGACCUCGAUGUUGGAUCAAGACAUCCUAAUGGUGCAGCCGCUAUUAAGGGUUCGUUUGUUCAACGAUUAAAGUCUU